UUUAAUGCUUUUAUAAGGAUGUUUGCUGUAAUAAUCUGGAUUGUUUUGUGGUUCUGUGCUGGUAUAAAUUAACUUUGAUUAAUGCAACAUAAAUGUCGCAUGUACAUUCACUAGUCUGGGAAAGUAUUUAGCCAGGUAUAACUAUUGUUCACUUAACUUAACACGGGCUGAUGAACGUCUGCGUCGGCUAAAUUAAUGUCCUUGAAUGUAAUACGCGUUAUUCCAUCCAAAGCUACACACAGUAUGCAAACAUCUGCGCGUCGUGGCCAUGGGGACACGGUUGCCGUGACGCACAGAGGGGCGGAGUUAUAUAUAGGGGAAAGGUUAACAGCGGAGCUCAUUCUGAAGGGUAAUUACGCAAUGCCACUUCACUUGACUUUUGAAACCAGAACCUUGCAUAGACAGAGGCCAGAGGCGCAAAGAUUAAAUCUCAAGUCAAAGUUCACUGCCUGGUUUAGGUUUGAACAGCGCUUUGUAAAAAUGUAUAUCAUUUGGUCUGACCAAAUAGAAUAUAUUUUAGGACAUCGAGAAUAUUUGCGCGCUCUCUCUCUGACACACACACACACACACACCUCGCAGCAGUAUCUGCACACUACUUAGUCUGCUCAGUUGAGAACGUCCCUAAAUAAGGCAAAGGAAAUUCAGCGGACGUUGUAAGGCUGACUUUAUGAAACAGUUCUUACAUUAACGGUGGUUAUCUCGCUUGAGUAAACUGAAUAUUUAAGCAAAAAAUUAAAGGCGUUAGUAACAACUACUUAGAAAACUCCCUAGUAACUUCAUCAUUACCAUUAACAUGAUUUAACUGGGAUUUAUCAAUUCACUCAACCAUGAAAGUUUCCCUGAUUGCAGUGUAGACUAUUUUUGCAUGCUAGCAUCGUUCAGCGCAAUUUACUAGCCACAGCAAGUCGAUCAAUCCAUUAUUUGAUCUAGAAUGACAGGUCAUAGUAACCCAAACUGGCUGUACUGCUGAUGCAACACGAGACACUCGUGUGUGUAUUCAACAUAUCCUAACGUAAAGAUAAUCUCAAAUUAGCCGUCCAGCUAACAUAUUUGAGCUAUCUGAUCAGUCAGUAAGAAGCUAACGGAAACCCGCUGCAAUGUAUUGAGGAUCUAAUUGCGUUAAUUUUGAGAUCUACACAGCAUGCCUAGAGUUAAAUUUACUAAGGACAGAUUCAAGUUAAAGAACAUAAUGUUAUGUGGGCGGUUAGCCACUUUACUAAUCUAUGCUAGCUACCUACUAAUUUUCUUGCUAAUCAUUUUCCAUGUGACUAGCUAACGAUGUCCACGCGAAGUUUAAUCACGGCAAAAAAAGCUGUACGUUCAGUUCUUACUCGAGCCUAACGUACGGGUAGCAUAAUAUGGACUACUACUAAACCUGGACAGAAGUGGCUGUUGUUUGAUAUGAUUAUUUGUUCUAUGAAAUAAGAUCUAACGUCAGAUUGAAGUUACACCUUCAGUACUUACCCGAAGCAUGCUAGCAAAACGUCACCCAGCCGCCUGGCAGGCAGGAGUAAGAACAAGACGCAGAUUUUGUCGGUACUAGUUUUCUGAUUACGCAGUGGCUGCUCCAGCCUGUUUCCUCGGCUUGAAUUCACAGGAUCGCUCCAGUCCUGUCCUUCACUCCAUGGUCAUGAACUGCUUCAGCAUGGGCCCCUGCCCAAGCCUUGAUGCUGUCUGGAGAUCCAGAUCCAUCAUCCGGCUCCUCUAAACUGCACUACUCUAACUAUACCAGAGCUGAUUGCAUGGGUCCUUUCUGUGUCGACUGAUGGUGCCAUAACCCCAAUUUAAUUGUUUCAUUUAUCUUAAUGGAAGCAAAACAUGAAUUUAUUGAUCUACUGUAUGUAUAAGACAUGGUUUAAAAGAAAAUACCUUUUCCUGCAAAUUUCAUAAAUGCAAUAAAAUGGUAGUGUGAAGUA